rnacentral:rRNA from 1 species
GAUGAACGCUGGCGGCGUGCUUAGCACAUGCAAGUCGAACGGGAAACCUUUUAUUGAAGCUUCGGCAGAUUUAGCUGGCUUCUAGUGGCGGACGGGUGAGUAACGCGUGGGUAACCUGCCUUAUACAGGGGGAUAACAGUAAGAAAUGACUGGUAAUACUGCAUAAGCGCACAGAGCUGCAUGGCUCAGUGGGAAAAAGUCGGGUGGUAUAAAAUGGACCCGCGUUGGAUUAGCUGGUUGGUGGGGGAACGGCCCGGCAAGGCGACGUUCCAUGGCCGGGACGGGAGGGUGAACGGCCACGUUGGGACUGAGGCACGGCCCCGACUCGGACGGAAGGGGGGGGUGGGGAGUAUUACGGGAUGAGGGAAGCCCUGAGGAAGCGACGCCGCGGGAAGGAGGAAGUGUCUCGGUAUGUACACUUCUAUCAGAAGGGGAGAUAAUGACGGUACCUGAUUAAGAAGCCCCGGCUAACUACGUG